AUGUCUUCCUCCACCCAAGUUCCAUCCAUAGGCCUGUCCAGUACCACAUCCGAGCCUCUCACAAGAACCAACUACAUCCUAUGGAAAGCCCAAGUUCGCUCCCAAAUCAUGGGUGCCGGACUAUAUGGGUACCUAGAUCAAACCACACCCGAGCCAGCCAAAACAAUCAUCACCAAAAACUCAGAAGGAAACGAGCAGAUUGUUCCAAACCCUGCCUAUAACCCAUGGCUGAUUCAAGAUCAGCAGAUUGUAGCCUUUCUCCUUCGAAAUCUCUCAAAGGAGGUACUCAUCCAGGUUGCUUCUUUAGAAACUUCCCACGCCAUAUGGUCAGCCCUAGCAAAGAUGUUCACCGCACAAUCUCUCUCCCGUGUAAACAACUGCCGCAUAGCCCUAUCCAAUGCUCAUAAAGGUUCACAGAGUGCCACAACCUAUUUUGGUCAGAUGAGGGCCCUCUCUGAUGAACUAGCUGCGGCUGGGAAACCCAUCGGAGAAGGAGAACUUCUUUCCUUUAUCAUUGCAGGGCUCGACAUGGACUAUCAGCCGCUGAUCUCAGCGCUGGACGUACGCACCGAACCCCUCUCGGUGGAUGACCUCUUCGGCAUGGUUGCAAAUUUUGACCAACGCGUUGAGAUGUUCCACGGGACAGGGGCAGGUGCCUUCAAAUCCUCCGCCAAUGUUGCAGCUUGA
rnacentral:rRNA from 1 species